rnacentral:rRNA from 1 species
AUGCUUAAUGUUUGCAUGUGUGCCCGUUUUCAAGCUACACUGAAGGAAUCACACCAUAAGGUUGUGAAGCAUAUUCUUAGAUAUCUAGCUCACACUCCAACACUUGGAUUAUGGUAUCCCAAGGGCUCGGUUUUUGAUCUCACUCGAUAUUCUGACUCUGACUAUGCUGGUGAUCGUGUGGAUCGCAAGUCUACAUCAGGCACAUGCUAUUCCUCGGACGAUCCUUGGUAUGUUGGUCCUCGAAGAAGCAGAACUGCGUAUCACUCUCUACUGCUGAAGCUGAGUACAUUGCUGCUGGUUCGUGCUGUGCUCAAUUACUAUGGAUGA